GGGUGAGUAACGCGUGGGUAACCUGCCUUGUACUGGGGGACAACAGUUGGAAACGACUGCUAAUACCGCAUAAGCGCACAGCUUCGCAUGAAGCAGUGUGAAAAACUGAGGUGGUACAAGAUGGACCCGCGUCUGAUUAGCUGGUUGGUGAGGUAACGGCUCACCAAGGCGACGAUCAGUAGCCGGCCUGAGAGGGUGAACGGCCACAUUGGGACUGAGACACGGCCCAAACUCCUACGGGAGGCAGCAGUGGGGAAUAUUGCACAAUGGGGGAAACCCUGAUGCAGCGACGCCGCGUGAGUGAAGAAGUAUUUCGGUAUGUAAAGCUCUAUCA
rnacentral:rRNA from 1 species